AUGGGUGUAGCUCAACGGAAGAGCGUCGGUCUCCAAAACCGGAAGGUGGGGGUUCGAAUCCCUCCGCCCGUGC
rnacentral:tRNA from 1 species